GAUGAAGAACGCAGCAAAAUGCGAUAAGUAAUGUGAAUUGCAGAAUUCAGUGAAUCAUCGAAUCUUUGAACGCACAUUGCGCCCGGCAGUAUUCUGGCGGGCAUGCCUGUUCGAGCGUCAUUUCAACCCUCAAGCCCUCGGGUUUGGUGUUGGGGAUCGGCGAGCCUUUCUGGCAAGCCGGCCCCGAAAUCUAGUGGCGGUCUCGCUGCAGCCUCCAUUGCGUAGUAGUAAAACCCUCGCAACUGGAACGCGGCGCGGCCAAGCCGUUAAACCCCCAACUUCUGAAUGUUGACCUCGGAUCAGGUAGGAAUACCCGCUGAACUUAAGCAUAUCAAUAAGCGGAGGA
rnacentral:misc_RNA from 1 species